GUAUUGAUAGCGCGUGAUUGCGCAAAGAACAUUCUACACUAGGGCGUUUGAUGUUAAAAACGUGAGCACCCCCCCCUCCGAGGAAGGGAGGACACACGCGGUGAUUCACAAAGGGGUGAGAUGGAUUGUAAGAGAGCACCGGAGCGUGCACAAAGUCAGCGACAGCCCCGGCACCUCCGUUAUACGAUAAUGAUCCUUCCGCAGGUUCACCUACGGAAA
rnacentral:misc_RNA from 1 species